rnacentral:rRNA from 1 species
UACGAAGGGUGCAAGCGUUACUCGGAAUUACUGGGCGUAAAGCGUGCGUAGGUGGUUCGUUAAGUCUGAUGUGAAAGCCCUGGGCUCAACCUGGGAAUGGCAUUGGAAACUGGCGACCUAGAGUGCGGUAGAGGGUAGUGGAAUUCCCGGUGUAGCAGUGAAAUGCGUAGAGAUCGGGAGGAACAUCCGUGGCGAAGGCGGCUACCUGGACCAGCACUGACACUGAGGCACGAAAGCGUGGGGAGCAAACGGG